CCGAGCCGAGCGCCGCCGAGGCCGCGCGAAGUUAACCGAGCGGCGCGACAGUUUCGCGGACGGAUUCGAAGACUGCGCACGGCGCGCGAGUGGCUCGGAAAGUUUCGCGGAAAGUGACAGCAUCUGUCUGAAAUCAGAGUGAAAUCGGUGACUCGGAACGACGAGACGUUCGUUCCCUUCCAUCCGGGAGCUGUCAGAUUCGAGUUUGACAAUUCGUUGUGACGUCAUGCUCCGAAAAUUCGACGCGCAAAAUCGAGUGAUAUUGUACGUACAUGUAUAUAGUGAUGGCGGCGCGCGCGAUUCCGACGCCGCCCGAGGAAAGCCGAGCGAUUCCAAGAAGUGACAGCUUGUUGCAACGCGCGCACGUGCGAAAAGUGCGGCUUGUUUUUUUUAAAGUUCGAUAACCGGGCGACAAAUUCGGAAAGUGUGUGCGUAAAUUGUGCGAGAUAUAACGCAAAAAGUGAUAUAUCGGAAUGAAAUUGUGUGAUCGAACGAGGGAAUAUUUGUGUCAGUCAGUGAAUAGUGAAAAGCUGCCAUGAAAUGGAUUAAAUAUCUUCUGGAAAUCAGUGGAUUAGGAGCAGGUAUAUUGCUACAAAAAGUAACAUUGCGAUUCACGCGUCGUUCGAGAGUACCGGAUAAAGUUCCGCGCGUCGGAAGUUCCGUAUAAAGUUUCCGCGGGUCGGGAGUGCCGUGUAAAGUUCCGCGGAUCGGGAGUGCCGUGUAAAGUUCCACGGAUCGGGAGUACCGUGUAAAGUUCCGUGGAUCGGGAGUGCCGUGUAAAGUUUCGCGCGUCGGAGUGCCGUGUAAGUUCCGCGCGUCGGGAGUGCCGUGUAAAGUUCCAUGGAUCGGAAGUGCCGUGUAAAAUUCCGUGCGUCGGAAGUGCCGUAUAAAAUUCCGCGGAACGGGAGUGUCGUGCGAUCGUAAUUAUUCGCGAGUGUCGUGAGUGCUACCAAGAGAGGAGGAGGAGGCCCAGGGAGGCAUCGGGCAAGAGCGAGACAACUGUGAGAUCCAUGCGCUGUGUACUACUGCACGGAUCGAUCCAUGUAUUGUGUACGUACUACAACUUCGUUGUUGCCCCUAUCGUGUCGGAUUUGCGCCGGGGAUGUCGAUGCGCGAGGAUAGCGAGAAGGAGAGACGCUCGUCUUUCAAGAUGUCGAGUAGCAGAGAUCCCUGUUUCGUCGCAUCCCGAAGCCGGUAAACGUCUGCUGCUGCUACUUCGAGCAGGUGAGGAACUCCUAUAGAACUCGACUCCCGGAGACGGCAAGAAAUCAGCCUGGAUCAUCAUGGAUUGGACCCGUGGGAUCGGUCUGACCAGCGUGUUAUUGUUCUAUCUCGGAUGGAUCGGGG